GACGAACGCUGGCGGCGUGCCUAAUACAUGCAAGUUGAGCGCUGAAGGUUGGUACUUGUACCGACUGGAUGAGCAGCGAACGGGUGAGUAACGCGUGGGGAAUCUGCCUUUGAGCGGGGGACAACAUUUGGAAACGAAUGCUAAUACCGCAUAAAAACUUUAAACACAAGUUUUAAGUUUGAAAGAUGCAAUUGCAUCACUCAAAGAUGAUCCCGCGUUGUAUUAGCUAGUUGGUGAGGUAAAGGCUCACCAAGGCGAUGAUACAUAGCCGACCUGAGAGGGUGAUCGGCCACAUUGGGACUGAGACAUGGCCCAAACUCCUACGGGAGGCAGCAGUAGGGAAUCUUCGGCAAUGGACGAAAGGCUGACCGAGCAACGCCGCGUGAGUGAAGAAGGUUUUCGGAUCGUAAAACUCUGUUGGUAGAGAAGAACGUUGGUGAGAGUGGAAAGCUCAUCAAGUGACGGUAACUACCCAGAAAGGGACGGCUAACUACGUG
rnacentral:rRNA from 1 species